rnacentral:rRNA from 1 species
GACGAACGCUGGCGGCGUGCUUAACACAUGCAAGUCGAACGGAAAGGCCCCUUUGGGGGUCCUCGAGUGGCGAACGGGUGAGUAACACGUGCGUAACCUGCCCUUGACUUCGGGAUAACUUCAGGAAACUGGGGCUAAUACCGGAUAGGAAUCCUUGCUGCAUGGUGGGGGUUGGAAAGCUUCGGCGGGUUUGGAUGGACUCGCGGGUUAUCAGCUUGUUGGUGGGGUAGUGGCUUACCAAGGCGUUGACGGGUAGCCGGCCUGAGAGGGCGACCGGCCACAUUGGGACUGAGAGACGGCCCAGACUCCUACGGGAGGCAGCAGGGGGGAAGAUUGCACAAUGGGCGGAAGCCGGAUGCAGCAACGCCGCGUGCGGGAUGACGGCCUUCGGGUUGUAAACCGCUUUCAGCAGGGGCGAAGCUUGUGGUGACGGUACCUGCAGAAGAAGCACCGGCUAACUACGUG